AAUCAACGCUGGCGGCGUGCCUAACACAUGCAAGUCGAACGAGAAAGUACUCUUCGGAGAGCGAGUAAAGUGGCGAACGGGUGAGUAACGCGUGGGUGAUCUACCCUUUGGAGGGGGAUAACCCGGGGAAACCCGGGCUAAUACCGCAUAAGCCUGCAUUUGUAAGCGAGUGCAGGAAAGUUUUCGGAUACCGAAGGAGGAGCCCGCGUCCGAUUAGCUAGUUGGUGAGGUAAGAGCUCACCAAGGCGACGAUCGGUAGCCGGUCUGANAGGACGGACGGUUACACUGGGACUGAGACACGGCCCAGACUCCUACGGGAGGCAGCAGUGGGGAAUUUUGGGCAAUGGGCGAAAGCCUGACCCAGCAACGCCGCGUGGAGGAUGAAGGUUUUCGGAUCGUAAACUCCUGUCUAGAGGGACGAAGAAAGUGACGGUACCUCUGGAGGAAG
rnacentral:rRNA from 1 species